UGGGGAAUUUUGGACAAUGGGCGCAAGCCUGAUCCAGCAAUGCCGCGUGCAGGAUGAAGGCCUUCGGGUUGUAAACUGCUUUUGUACGGAACGAAACGGCUCUGUCUAAUACAUGGGGUUGAUGACGGUACCGUAAGAAUAAGCACCGGCUAACUACGUGCCAGCAGCCGCGGUAAUACGUAGGGUGCGAGCGUUAAUCGGAAUUACUGGGCGUAAAGCGUGCGCAGGCGGUUAUGUAAGACAGUUGUGAAAUCCCCGGGCUCAACCUGGGAAUUGCAUCUGUGACUGCAUAGCUAGAGUACGGUAGAGGGGGAUGGAAUUCCGCGUGUAGCAGUGAAAUGCGUAGAUAUGCGGGGGAACACCGAUGGCGAAGGCAAUCCCCUGGACCUGUACUGACGCUCAUGCACGAAAGCGUGGGGAGCAAACA
rnacentral:rRNA from 1 species